rnacentral:rRNA from 1 species
UUGCCGGCGAGCGGCGGACGGGUGAGUAAUGCCUGGGAAUUUGCCCAGUCGAGGGGGAUAACAGUUGGAAACGACUGCUAAUACCGCAUACGCCCUACGGGGGAAAGCAGGGGACCUUCGGGCCUUGCGCGAUUGGAUAAGCCCAGGUGGGAUUAGCUAGUUGGUGAGGUAAUGGCUCACCAAGGCGACGAUCCCUAGCUGGUCUGAGAGGAUGAUCAGCCACACUGGAACUGAGACACGGUCCAGACUCCUACGGGAGGCAGCAGUGGGGAAUAUUGCACAAUGGGGGAAACCCUGAUGCAGCCAUGCCGCGUGUGUGAAGAAGGCCUUCGGGUUGUAAAGCACUUUCAGCGAGGAGGAAAGGC